UUGAGGCUUUUACAAUUCCCCGCUAAGUAGUGAUAAGUGGACUGCUACCAGGCCAGCACUCGAGUUUCCGUGAUGGGUAUUGGACGUUGUUUUGCAGCCAAAAUAACUGAAACUGUCACUUUAAGACUCUGUCUGCAUAUUUCAAUUAUGUAAAAAUAUUCUCUCCAAAGCCCUGUUUUGUGUGCAACGAAAUCACAUUAGCAUAAAGUAGGCUACUUAACAAAGUCAAUGAACGUAAUUAUUAUACUCCUGACAUUAAAAAUAUGAACAAAGUUGUGUGAAA